rnacentral:lncRNA from 1 species
UUUUUUUUUUUUUUGCCUCCCCACAGCACGUGGAAGUUCCAGGAACAGGGAUCAAACCCAAGCCACAGUAGUAACAACACUCGAUCCCUAGCCUGCUGAGCCACCAGGGAACUGCAUUUGUUGGUCAAUUGUUGCCUAGAAGUAAACUACCUUUCCAGUUUCAUGCCUCAUCCUUCCUGACACUCUACCUCCCAGCCAACUAAACUCAUCUUUCUUCUGGGAAUACUGAACUUCCUGUUAUGACUUGACUUCUAUUAUUGAACUCUGCUUACAAUGCUCUUUUAGUGCUUCUACUUCAUUUAUUCAGCUCUUCCCUGAUUCUAAAUGCCUGAUUCAUAACAAAGUAUCUUUUUCCAAUAAGUUUUCUCUGUCUCACAUGGUUUGAACUGAGUGGUCCCUUAUGUGAGAUGCUGUGUCAUGCAUUAACCUUAACCAUUAUUAAUUACUGAUAAUAAUAAAUGUUGAAUAUAUGCUGCAUGUUUUAAUUGUUGUGAAUUAUAUUUUUGUAUAUCUCAUAUCUUUGUUUCCAUAUUACAUCAUGAUCUCUGAGAUUAGAGUCUAUGUUUCCAGGUUACAAAAAUUUAUCUCUUAUCUGUAAAUAUAGUUAAAAGUUUUACUGAAUCUACUUGUAAGCACAACUAUUAGGUGUUGACAGGCCCUGAAAUUGUGUCAUACAAACUGGUCAUGUCAUAGAUUUGUGUUAAUGAGAUACACAUAUUUAUCAGAAAUUUGAAGUGGAAUAUUCUAUUAAAUUUGUUUAACGUAUAUUUAUAGAUCAAAAAGUUCUACUUUUGAAUAAAUACAUGUAAAAUAUAUAGUCAAUCAAUUUUUAUUAUAAUAAAUGAACCUAUUAUUUUGGAUGAUGAAAAUUUAGUAAAAAUUCACAUUAAACAUAUGUUUCUUAUGGUAUCUAAAAUAUACUUCUAUAAAGCUAUUACAAUUAUACUAUCAUGUGUAAAUAUGAUAGUUCUUAAAUUUUUGUAUUUAAAUUAUAAAAAAAAUCCACUAGCCAACACUGACCAAUCAUUCACCCAACAUUCAGCCUAUCACACUCUUAAAAUGUUUGUCUGAUUUACAGAGUGAAUAUUAUAUGCAUUGGCAUUAUUUUUCUUCCUUCACACCUUAUCAGGCUUUUAAAAAUAUGCAUAAAAUUUAUGUAGACUCCUCAAAUAUCUGCAUAUCAUAUUUUCUGCCAUGGCCCUACUGAAAGUAACCGUGAGGAAAAUGAGACCAAACUCAUUUGUACGUUCAUACACACAUACACACAUGAAUAUAGUUUAACAUUAAAAUUCGAUUUGCUUUACUAGGUUUUAAUUUAAGUCUGCUGUGAAGAGAUCAUGGCAAUUUCAGACAGAGUCAAGACAAAUCUAAGCUGAAGUCCUCAUUUGACAAACAGCUGUAUUGCAGAGCCAGCUCAUUCACAACGCCACCCAAUUAAUGCUAAAUAUUUCCCUCAGUCAAUACAUCAUUAACUUAAUUCCUUUUUAAUUGAACUUCCUCUGUUCCAAUAUCGGCACAUUAAGAGUUAUUAUCACUCUGCCUCUGGUACAAGGCUGUUCAGAAACCUCCCAUCCUUCCUACUCCCAAAGUGUAGCAUCACUAAUAGUGUCUCUGGCAGCUCAGACCCCAUCAGUGUAUUCUAAAAUAACACAUCACAUCUCUUUAUGGUCAAUGUGGUAAUUUACUGAAAGUAAACCUUUUCAUUAACUAAAUAAAACAAAUACACCAGCACACACAAAGUCAGUUUUUAGUAAUGCAAGACCAGAACCCACCUCUUCUAGUCCAGUAUUUUCCCUGGUCUCAACUACUUUUUACCCUUUGGUACUUACAACUUUCAGUUUUUUUAUGUAUCUCUUCCUUAAUUUAACUCCUGCCUCCCCAUAACAUUUUAAGUUUCAGUGCUUGAAUGAUGGUGCAAUGAAAAAUGCUAGCAAGGAUUUCAAAUGUUGGGUUUUCUUCUCUAAUCACUCAGACUUGAAACCUCACACUCCAGAUUUUUGACUUUGUUCUUUUUGCUUAUGUAAUCUGGCCAGCAACCCUUACCUGUAUGUCUUCCUCCACAGUCAAUUUGGCAGUGGUGUGAAAGUGGGGUUGGGUGGGGAGAGUGGUGAAAGGAAUAAGCAAAGGAGAAAGAAGUUCUAAAAGAAAUGAGGACCUUCUAUUCCACUUCCCUUUCACUUGAUGAAAGGUUUUCCUGGCAUUUGCCUUCACAUCUGGAAGUGGCAAGAAAAUAAUUAUUCUAGUUGAACGGUUGUGUGAAGAUCUAACCAAAGGUGGAUCUGUUGUGGCUUACAGUUAGUGCUCCGAAAAUUACAGCAGCAGACCAGGGACUGACUUUGUGCCUCAAGAACUUGAUUACAGGUGUCUAAUCAUAUUUCAGAUAGCAGAAUGUAUUAAAGUUUUAAAUUCACAAGCUCUGCUGAAGAAGGAUUGAAAACAUUCCUAUAGAAGAAAGUAUGCUUAUAGAAAAAUGAACAGUAUAUGCAACUUUAUAAUAACAUCUCUAAGCUAAGAAGAGCAUCAUGUUUUAUAUAUGUGUGUACUUAUAUAUAUCCAUAAAACUUUGGAGAGAUAUAUAUAGCAUUUUCCAAGUCAGAAGAUGUACUGAUAAAGCACAGCCAAUGGCCUUCUAAAAUGAUUAGUAUAUACUGAAUAUAAUCAACAAGAACAUACUGUACAGCUUAGAGAAAUCUACUCAAAAUUGUGUGAUAACCAAAAUGGGAAAUGAAUCUGAAAAAAAUGGGUAUAUGUAUCAUUGAAUCACUUUGCUGUACAUCUGAAACCAAACAACCUUGUAAAUCUAUACUUCAAUAAAAAAAUUAAAAACAACAAAAAGAUACAUUAGAGAUUUUCUAUCAAGUAAUAAAAUACAUAAUGAAAAAUAGAUGGUUCCAUUCCUAUGAUAAGGAACAAAUAUUUUACACUGAUGUAUUAUUUAAAUGGGUGACAUUGUUUUAAAAGAAAAAAACAUUCCACAAAUUGCAAUGGCAUUCACAUCUAAAAUCACUGGAAAUUGCAGAGUUUGAUUAUCUAAAGAAAUCAAGUACAAAUGAUAAAAUGAAUAUACUUGUAUUUAAUUGGGAUAUUGUGAAGGUUAAUGAAAUCAAACAACCUUGAAGGGAUGUAGGUGAUGGUUAAUACACCACAUUGAAUUUUUGGAUUAAUAUUAAAAGAAAGCAACCUGAUUCAUUUCUGUUUAUUCCAAUAUUCAAACCAAGUGGAACUCCUGGGAAUUAUUAGAGAGACAAAUUAAAACAACAGAUGGACUUGCAGUUGCCUGCAUAAGAAUGUCUUUUCACAAAACCCCCUGACAAUUUCAGAGAUUCUAAGGUGUUCUAUUUAAUUUCAAAUAAAGAAUACUACAUUUUUUCCUCUUACCAGGCUGUCAAUCUCUGAGGACCCCAAAGAAAAUAAUUUGAAAACAUCAUGAAAGUAUUUUCUCGGGCCUUUUAUAAGACACAUCUUGUAAGAUAGUUAUAAGACUCACACUUUUUUAGUGAUAGAAAGGAGAAAAAAAGUGUAAGCAAUUUCUAUCUCCUAAAGUAUGAAUCUCCAUUUUGAGUAUUAAAUGGAACAGUUACUUUUAUGACAUAGAUUUUAAAGAGAAAACACCCAAUUUCCUACCAUAUCUUUAUUUUAUGUAAUUAAAAGAUUUGUUCUUAUUUUAUGGAUCACUGAGUUAAAUUAGCCAAACAGUGGCUGUGGUAGCACUUGACUCUGUAAAGCUCCUGCUGUUAGAGACUUAGUUCUAUAGACAGGUUAAUUUUAUUCUGCAUUGUUAUCAAAGAUGUUUUGGAGAAAUAAAUAUUUAGGUCAUUCACUAACCUAACUUGUAUAAAAUUUUUUUUUUACUUUUUGAAAGGAGAUUCAUGUAGACAUCUAAAAUAUAUAAUGGGGGCUUUUAGUGGGGGGAAGAUAUCUAAUUUCACAGGAUUUAAUUGUGCAAAUUGUGCUAAAAGUUCAUCUGAAGAAGACUAGGGGCUUAUAAAAUAAAUUCUCAAAAUGGGUCCUUGGGAUUUCUGCUUCUUGUAAUUGCAGAGUGGCUUUUUGCCGACUGACUCUUCUUCUGAGAACUAGAAAGGCUGGAUUUUAUUUUUUUUAAAUCUGUGUGAAAGGAUCAGCAAGGUAAAAAAGGGACUUAAAGGAUCACAAUCCCAGAAGGAAUGAAAUUAUCCAAAGAAAUGCGCCCAACAUUCAUCACCACUUCUCUCUUUGAGGAAUUUGUUGUUUCUCAAGAGGUGACGGAAGUUGAGAAGUUGAGCAGAGCUCCAGGCAAUGUUACAUGACUGGGACAUACAAAAUUUUGAGUAUAUGGCCCACAAAGAAGAAGGGAUUCUGGUAAACAUGCUAGACUCUCAGCUGGAACUAGUGGAAGACUACAUCCUAAGAGUGUGUAUACACAAAUGAAUCAGCUCUCAGAUAAUUCUUGAUUGGAUUAAGGAAAAGCUGUCCCUAGCUUAAAUGCUUACUAAAAGCAAAACUAAAUGCCCUUUAGACAAAUACAACAUUACCACCAAAUGUUUUCAUAAGUAAUAUGGGGUACUCAGUUAAAAUUUACAUUUGAU